UUCCGGUUGUUCCUGCCGGAGGCUACCGCUAUUGGAGUUCGAUUAAGCCAUGCGAGUCUAGAGGCCUAGCCUCGGCGUACCGCUCAGUAACACGUGGGUAACCUACCCUAUGCUGGGGAAUAAGCUCGGGAAACUGAGAAUAAUGCCCCAUAGUCCACUACGCCUGGAACGGUGAGUGGAUCAAAGCUCCGGCGGCAUAGGAUGGGCCUGCGGCGUAUCAGGUUGUAGGGGGUGUAAUGUACCCUCUAGCCAUCCACGCGUACGGGUGUUGGGAGACAUUGCCCGGAGAUGGAUUCUGAGACACGAAUCCAGACCCUACGGGGUGCAGCAGGCGCGAAAACUUGGCAAUGCGAGAAAUCGUGACCAGGGAACUCCAAGUGGCAGGGGUAAGACCCUGUCUUUUUCCGACUCUAAAUAGGUCGGCGAAUAAGGGGUGGGUAAGGACGGUGCCAGCCGCCGCGGUAAUACCGGCGCCUCAAGUGGUAGUCGCUUUUAUUGGGCCUAAAACGUCCGUAGCCGGUCUGGUACAUUCGUGGGUAAAUCAACUCGCUCAACGAGUUGAAUUCUGCGAGGACGGCCAGACUUGGGACCGGGAGAGGUGUGGGGUACUCUCAGGGUAGGGGUAAAAUCCUGUCAUCCUGAGAGGACCACCUGUUGCGAAGGCUCCACACUAGAACGGAUCCGACGGUCAGGGACGAAGCCUAGGGGCACGAACCGGAUUAGAUACCCGGGUAGUCCUAGGUGUAAACGCUGUGGACUUGAUGUUGGGGACGCUCCGAGCGUUCUCAGUGUCGAAGCGAAGGUGAUAAGUCCACUGCCUGGGGAGUACGGUCGCAAGGCUGAAACUUAAAGGAAUUGGCGGGGGAGCACCGCAACCUGAGGAUUGUGCGGUUUAAUUGGAUUCAACGCCGGA
rnacentral:rRNA from 1 species